UUAGGAGGAGGAUAACCUCGGGAAACUGAGAAUAAUACUCCAUAGACCUAAGAUGCUGGAAUGCACUUAGAUUGAAAGCUCCGGCGCCUAAGGAUGAGUCUGCGGACUAUCAGGUAGUAGUCAGGGUAAGGUCCUGACUAGCCAACGACGGAUACGGGUUGUGAGAGCAAUAACCCGGAGACGAUAUCUGAGACACGAUAUCGGGCCCUACGGGGCGCAGCAGGCGCGAAACCUUCACAAUGUGCGAAAGCGCGAUGAGGGGAUCCCAAGUGCUUGCACGUUAGUGUAAGCUGUUUCUUUGUCUAAAAAGCAAAGAGAGGAAGGGCUGGGUAAGACGGGUGCCAGCCGCCGCGGUAAUACCUGCAGCUCAAGUGGUGACCGCUAUUAUUGGGCCUAAAACGUUCGUAGCCGGACGAGUAAAUGCUUGGGUAAAUCGUGCCGCUUAACGGUACGAAUUCCGAGUAGACUGCUUGUCUUGAGACCGGGAGAAGCUAGAGGUACUCCUGGGGUAGGGGUGAAAUCCUGUAAUCCUGGGGGGACCACCAGUGGCGAAGGCGUCUAGCUAGAACGGGUCUGACGGUGAGGGACGAAACCCUGGGGCGCAAACCGGAUUAGAUACCCGGGUAGUCCAGGGCGCAAACGCUGCUUGCUUGAUGUUAGCUGGGCUCCGAGCUCAGCUAGUGUCGGAGAGAAGUUGUUAAGCAAGCUGCCUGGGAAGUACGAUCGCAAGAUUGAAACUUAAAGGAAUUGGCGGGA
rnacentral:rRNA from 1 species